CCGUAGCCCAAGAGAUCGGGAUAACACCUGGAAACAGAUGCUAAUACCGGAUAACAAUAGAUGAUGCCUAUCAACUGUUUAAAAGAUGGUUCUGCUAUCACUCUUGGAUGGACCUGCGGUGCAUUAGCUAGUUGGUAGGGUAACGGCCUACCAAGGCGAUGAUGCAUAGCCGAGUUGAGAGACUGAUCGGCCACAUUGGGACUGAGACACGGCCCAAACUCCUACGGGAGGCAGCAGAG
rnacentral:rRNA from 1 species